UCCGCUCUCGACUCUCCCAUGCCGCUGCUGCCCAGCACAGGAACCCAUUCAAUGCACUUACCUCACUGGAUGAAGCUGCUAUUCUCUCAUCUUGCUCCACGCCAAAGGAACUCUUCCUCCUCCUCCUCUUCAAGCCCCUCUAGAUGGCUGAAGACCGAAAGUCUGCUGAACUACUGAGUCACGUGAUGAAGGACGACCAUCUGAGAAUGUGGUUGGAGAGGUUCUCAACAUCUCCAGGGUUGCUCAGGAGGAUUUGAAGAAAAUCUCGGUUCCUUGUUACGAGAAGGGAACGUGUCUGCUGAUUCUGGUGUUCCGUACUCUCCCGAGGACUUAGGACAUUGCCCUGUACCCCCUAAGCACACAAUAAAUAGCACUGCUUGACUGAUUGCUUUGAAAUGGGAUCAGGGGCUUCCAAUUAGUUUUAGCCUCAGACUGGCAACCAGCUGAGUUGACUUUGUAAGAGGAAAGAUGGGCGUGGCCUA